rnacentral:rRNA from 1 species
UGAAACUGGAAUUCUUGAGUGUGGUUGAAGUAGACGGAAUAUGUCAUGUAGCGGUGAAAUGCAUAGAUAUGACAUAGAACACCAAUUGCGUAGGCAGUUUACUAAACCAUUACUGACGCUCAUGGACGAAAGUGUGGGGAGCGAACAGGAUUAGAUACCCUGGUAGUCCACACCGUAAACUAUGAUCACUAGAUGUUGGCGAUAUACAGUCAGUGUCUUAGAGAAAUCGUUAAGUGAUCCACCUGGGAAGUACGUUCGCAAGAAUGAAACUCAAAGGAAUUGACGGGGGCCCGCACAAGCGGUGGAGCAUGUGGUUUAAUUCGAUGAUACGCGAGGAACCUUACCAAGGCUUAAAUGUAAAACGACCGGUUGAGAGAUCAACCUUUUUUCGAACGAUUUACAAGGUGCUGCAUGGUUGUCGUCAGCUCGUGCCGUGAGGUGUCGGGUUAAGUCCCAUAACGAGCGCAACCCCUAUUUCUAGUUGCCAGCGAGUAAUGUCGGGAACUCUAGAGAGACUGCCCGUGCAAACGGAGAGGAAGGUGGGGAUGACGUCAAAUCAUCACGGCCCUUAUGUCUUGGGCUACACACGUGCUACAAUGGUCAAUACAGUGGGAUGCCAUCUGGUGACAGAGAGCAAAUCCAUAAAGUUGAUCCCAGUUCGGAUCGGAGUCUGCAACUCGACUCUGUGAAGUUGGAAUCGCUAGUAAUCGCACAUCAGCCAUGGUGCGGUGAAUACGUUCCCGGGCCUUGUACACACCGCCCGUCAAGCCAUGGAAGUUUGGAGUGCCUGAAGUCAGUAACCGCAAGGAUCUGCCUAAGGUAAAACAAGUAACUAGGGCUAAGUCGUAACAAGGUACC